rnacentral:rRNA from 1 species
AUUGAACGCUGGCGGCAUGCCUUACACAUGCAAGUCGGACGGCAGCGCGGGAGCAAUCCUGGCGGCGAGUGGCGAACGGGUGAGUAAUACAUCGGAACAUGUCCAGUAGUGGGGGAUAGCCCGGCGAAAGCCGGAUUAAUACCGCAUACGAUCUAUGGAUGAAAGCGGGGGAUCGCAAGACCUCGCGCUAUUGGGGUGGCCGAUGGCGGAUUAGCUAGUUGGUGGGGUAAAGGCCUACCAAGGCGACGAUCCGUAGCUGGUCUGAGAGGACGACCAGCCACACUGGGACUGAGACACGGCCCAGACUCCUACGGGAGGCAGCAGUGGGGAAUUUUGGACAAUGGGGGCAACCCUGAUCCAGCAAUGCCGCGUGUGUGAAGAAGGCCUUCGGGUUGUAAAGCACUUUUGUCCGGGAAGAAAUCCCCUGCCCUAAUACGGCGGGGGGA